UACGAAGGGGGCGAGCGUUGUUCGGAUUUACUGGGCGUAAAGGGCGCGCAGGCGGCUCAUUUUGUCAGGCGUGAAAGCCCCGGGCUUAACCUGGGAACUGCGUUUGAUACGGAUGGGCUAGAGUUCGGGAGAGGAGAGUGGAAUUCCCAGUGUAGAGGUGAAAUUCGUAGAUAUUGGGAAGAACACCGGUGGCGAAGGCGGCUCUCUGGACCGAGACUGACGCUGAGGCCCGAAAGCGUGGGGAGCAAACAGG
rnacentral:rRNA from 1 species